UGCAGUCGAGCGGUAAGGCCCUUCGGGGUACACGAGCGGCGAACGGGUGAGUAACACGUGGGUGAUCUGCCCUGCACUUCGGGAUAAGCCUGGGAAACUGGGUCUAAUACCGGAUAUGACCAAGGACUGCAUGGUUUUUGGUGGAAAGGUUUACUGGUGCAGGAUGGGCCCGCGGCCUAUCAGCUUGUUGGUGGGGUAAUGGCCUACCAAGGCGACGACGGGUAGCCGACCUGAGAGGGUGACCGGCCACACUGGGACUGAGACACGGCCCAGACUCCUACGGGAGGCAGCAGUGGGGAAUAUUGCACAAUGGGCGAAAGCCUGAUGCAGCGACGCCGCGUGAGGGAUGACGGCCUUCGGGUUGUAAACCUCUUUCAGCAGGGACGAAGCGAAAGUGACGGUACCUGCAGAAGAAGCACCGGCCAACUACGUGCCAGCAGCCGCGGUAAUACGUAGGGUGCAAGCGUUGUCCGGAAUUACUGGGCGUAAAGAGCUCGUAGGCGGUUUGUCGCGUCGUCUGUGAAAACUCGAGGCUCAACCUCGAGCUUGCAGGCGAUACGGGCAGACUUGAGUACUGCAGGGGAGACUGGAAUUCCUGGUGUAGCGGUGAAAUGCGCAGAUAUCAGGAGGAACACCGGUGGCGAAGGCGGGUCUCUGGGCAGUAACUGACGCUGAGGAGCGAAAGCGUGGGUAGCGAACAGGAUUAGAUACCCUGGUAGUCCACGCCGUAAACGGUGGGCGCUAGGUGUGGGUUUCCUUCCACGGGAUCCGUGCCGUAGCUAACGCAUUAAGCGCCCCGCCUGGGGAGUACGGCCGCAAGGCUAAAACUCAAGGAAUUGACGGGGGCCCGCACAAGCGCGGAGCAUGUGGAUUAAUUCGAUGCAACGCGAAGAACCUUACCUGGGUUUGACAUAUACCGGAAAGCCGUAGAGAUACGGUCCCCCCUUGGUGGUCGGAUACAGGUGGUGCAUGCUGUCGUCAGCUCGUGUUCGUGAGAUGUUGGGUUAAGUCCGCAACCGAGCGCACCCUUGUCUUAUGUUGCCAGCACGUAUGG
rnacentral:rRNA from 1 species